rnacentral:rRNA from 1 species
GACGAACGCUGGCGGCGUGCUUAACACAUGCAAGUCGAACGGUAAGGCCCUUCGGGGUACACGAGUGGCGAACGGGUGAGUAACACGUGGGUGAUCUGCCCUGCACUUCGGGAUAAGCCUGGGAAACUGGGUCUAAUACCGGAUAGGACCACUGCCUGCAUGGGUGGUGGAAAGCUUUUGCGGUGUGGGAUGGGCCCGCGGCCUAUCAGCUUGUUGGUGGGGUGAUGGCCUACCAAGGCGACGACGGGUAGCCGGCAUGAGAGGGUGACCGGCGAAACUGGGACUGAGGUACGGCCCAGACUCCUACGGGAGGCAGCAGUGGGGAAUAUUGCGCAAUGGGCGCAAGCCUGAUGCAGCGACGCCGCGGGGGGGAUGACGGCCUUCGGGUUGUAAACCUCUUUCAGCACCGACGAAGCGCAAGUGACGGUAGGUGCAGAAGAAGGACCGGCCAACUACGUGCCAGCAGCCGCCGUAA